rnacentral:rRNA from 1 species
CCCUUAGAUGUUCUGGGCCGCACGCGCGCUACACUGAUGCAUUCAACGAGUCCAACCUUGACCGAGAGGUCCGGGUAAUCUUUGAGACUGCAUCGUGAUGGGGCUAGAUUAUUGCAAUUAUUAAUCUUCAACGAGGAAUGCCUAGUAAGCGUGAUUCAUCAAAUCGCGUUGAUUACGUCCCUGCCCUUUGUACACACCGCCCGUCGCUCCUACCGAUUGAGUGUGUUGGUGAGGAGUUUGGAUUGGCCUCGGAAGGUGGUUCGCCACCGUCCGUAGCUGAGAAGUUCUCCAAACCGCCCCACUUAGAGGAAGGAGAAGUCGUAACA